GACAGAGGGUGCAAACGUUGUUCGGAAUUACUGGGCGUAAAGCGCGUGUAGGCUGUUUCGAAAGUCGGAUGUGAAAGCCCUGGGCUCAACCUAGGAAGUGCAUUCGAAACUUCGAAGCUGGAGUCCUGGAGAGGAAGGCGGAAUUCUCGGUGUAGAGGUGAAAUUCGUAGAUAUCGAGAGGAACACCGGUGGCGAAGGCGGCCUUCUGGACAGUGACUGACGCUGAGACGCGAAAGCGUGGGGAGCAAACAGG
rnacentral:rRNA from 1 species